GACGAACGCUGGCGGCGUGCUUAACACAUGCAAGUCGAGCGGUAAGGCCCUUUCGGGGGUACGACGAGCGGCGAACGGGUGAGUAACACGUGGGUGACCUCGCCCUCAGCUCUGGGAUAAGCCUGGGAAACCGGGUCUAAUACUGGAUAUGACUCCAUGACGCAUGUUGUGGGGUGGAAAGCCUUGUGCGGCUGAGGAUGGGCCCGCGGCCUAUCAGCUUGUUGGUGGGGUGANGG
rnacentral:rRNA from 1 species